rnacentral:tRNA from 1 species
UGUCCCUAUAGUUUAACGGAAAGAACAUAGGCUUCCGGAGCCUAAAGUGGGGGUCCGAUUCCUCCUAGGGACAA